AUCCAGCUGAUGUGUUUCAAAUAGGAUGAAACGCGCGUCAAGCUGGAU
rnacentral:hammerhead_ribozyme from 1 species